ACUCCUACGGGAGGCAGCAGUGGGGAAUAUUGCACAAUGGGCGCAAGCCUGAUGCAGCCAUGCCGCGUGUAUGAAGAAGGCCUUCGGGUUGUAAAGUACUUUCAGCAGUGAGGAAGGUGGGUAUGUUAAUAGCAUAUUCAUUUGACGUUAGCUGCAGAAGAAGCACCGGCUAACUCCGUGCCAGCAGCCGCGGUAAUACGGAGGGUGCGAGCGUUAUCCGGAUUUAUUGGGUUUAAAGGGUCCGUAGGCGGAUUAAUAAGUCAGUGGUGAAAUCCCAUCGCUUAACGAUGGAACUGCCAUUGAUACUGUUAGUCUUGAAUGAGGGUGCAGUGGUUGGAAUGUGUAGUGUAGCGGUGAAAUGCAUAGAUAUUACACAGAACACCGAUUGCGAAGGCAGAUCACUAACCCUAAAUUGACGCUGAGGGACGAAAGCGUGGGGAGCGAACAGGAUUAGAUACCCUGUAGGCUCUG
rnacentral:rRNA from 1 species